GUAGAGCCAUUUUUUUCUGAAGACUCUCCAAUUGAAUCAAUCUAGAAUAAAAGUAGAAUACAAACUAAAUAACACUGAAUUGUUUACUGUACUUGCAGGACAAAAGAUGGCAGUGAAUUUUUAUUCCACGCUAAAGACGAGGACGACCUGAAGACGUGGGUGAGCAACAUUGGCGGCAGCAUCUCGGAACACGAGGAGAUGGCCAAGUGGGGCCAGCCCCAAGCAACUACCUCAUCCACUGACGAGGGCACACGGCGCGACGGCAGCAAAGCUGGCUCGGAGCGCGGGGGCGAGCGAUCGGACCGAGCUGAGAAGGCAGAAAAGGUGGAAAAAGACAAAGAAAAGGACAGGGGACGGGACAAAGACAGGGGGGAGCGCUCGGAGCGCAGUGGAAAGGCAGAAGCCAAACGCUCAGAGAAGUCCAGUAAGAAAAAGUGAUGUCUUCUCAUCGCUUCCCACGUGGAAGCGCAAAGAUGCAAAAUGACACAGGAAGGAAGAACUUUUUGAACUGACUUUUUCUUCUCCUAAUGUGUCUAAGCGGUAUCGCCCCUCUCCCCCCACUGGCUGUGCAGGGAAGUGGAGCAGGAUGAUGAUUGCUGCUUCUGAGAUAGAGUAUCAAGUAGCUCGCGCUGUUCCUUUUCUGAUUUCUUAUAUGAGCUGUGUGUGUGUGUGUGUGCGUGCGUGCGUGUGUGUGUGUGGGCAUGUAAAGUUCAGAGUAAUAGCAGUGGAAUUAAGAAAGUAAGUAAAGCCUGCAUCUCACUGAGCUCUGAAGGUUUGCGCACAUAGUCAGGUUGGAAUUUCGUCGGGGUUCUUAAAUGUUUGCAAACAGUUGCAAACAGUUUUUCUCGUGAAACUGGUGACGAAAAUUAGCACUACUGGCGAAUGUCUGGCGGACAUCUUUGCGACCGUUUGCGACCUUGAACGAAACCUGUCGAAAACACAACAUACAACACGAUAAUGUUUGCUGCUUAAAUUCUUAUAAUCGUUUUUAUUUCAGUCUUAGCAAAUUUAUUGACAACACUGAAUCCAAAUAAACGUCAGAUAAAAUAAUGUAUUGAACUUGUCAUUCCUUGAAGAAAGUUAAGUAAAAAAUUAAUUGUUGAAAAAGUGAAAAACAGUAGAAAGUGAAAAAUGCUUGAAAAGGUUUGCAUUUCUGUGAUGUAAUACAGAUGUGAAGCACACCGAGUUGGUCAAAAACAUCUGAAGAUUCUAGAGUUAGUCCAAAAAGUCUUUCAGGGAUUUUUGAAGAGUCUGAAAAAUCUCCUUGAUGGUUCAGUAAUUUAAUAUAAAUAAUCUUUCUCGAGAUGGAAUAAUCUGUUUUGAAGUUGGACUCCUCUUGGUUUGUCACUUAAGACUCUUUGCUUGUUUAAACUAUCUCUACAAGGCUCUUCAGUUGAUCCUAACUUCCUUUAAAACUUUCAGACCGGUAUACAAAGUCUUUGACAGUUGAUCUAAAGAAUCUCAAGUUAAUUAAAAAAAAAUCUCUGAAGACUUCAGACGAAAUGGCAAUUCUCUAAAGACCCUUUAGUUGAUCCAUAAAAUUUCUAGACUCUUCUGGACUAACAUCUGGCACAUGUGAACUGUUAUGCCACACAGAUGCAAACCACUUUUUUAAACUCACUGCUAUUAUAUCGAACACAUUUGUCUUUUAGUGAAGGAAGCCCUCUAUGCCAAACUGAUCUCAUUCAUCAUCACCCGACUAAAAUCAUCCAAAUCUCGUUUUCUGUCUUUUUUUUUUUUAUGUUCCCACCCAAAAGGAAUCUGGUUGAUGUCUACGUCUGUCCAUAACUCUCAGGUUUCUUACAGUGUUGUAAGCGUGUGUUUGGGGUGCUCAAAUGUCUUCCAGAUGCGUGCAAAGUUCCAAUCCACUGGAAACGUCAGCAGAGUGUAAACAAUGUUGGAUGAAUGACUGAAUGGAUGGAUGGAUGGAUGAAUGAAUGGAUGGCAGACCAGAAGCGCUUCAGCUGUCACACCUUAUGACUUUGCAUGUCUGAUUUGGUGUGAAAUCACAUGUUGAAAAAAAUAAAAACAAAAAAUCUA